GAUGAACGCUGGCGGCGUGCCUAAUACAUGCAAGUCGAGCGAACGGACGAGAAGCUUGCUUCUCUGAUGUUAGCGGCGGACGGGUGAGUAACACGUGGAUAACCUACCUAUAAGACUGGGAUAACUUCGGGAAACCGGAGCUAAUACCGGAUAAUAUUUUGAACCGCAUGGUUCAUAAGUGAAAGACGGUCUUGCUGUCACUUAUAGAUGGAUCCGCGCUGCAUUAGCUAGUUGGUAAGGUAACGGCUUACCAAGGCAACGAUGCAUAGCCGACCUGAGAGGGUGAUCAGCCACACUGGAACUGAGACACGGUCCAGACUCCUACGGGAGGCAGCAGUAGGGAAUCUUCCGCAAUGGGCGAAAGCCUGACGGAGCAACGCCGCGUGAGUGAUGAAGGUCUUCGGAUCGUAAAACUCUGUUAUUAGGGAAGAACAUAUGUGUAAGUAACUGUGCACAUCUUGACGGUACCUAAUCAGAAAGCCACGGCUAACUACGUG
rnacentral:rRNA from 1 species